rnacentral:rRNA from 1 species
GAGAUGGACAAGAAUAUGCAGCGAGAGCGAGAGGUGAUGGACAAGAAUCUGAAGCAGGAGCGGGCAACCGUGGACCGCAUGAGGAAGGAGGAGUGUGCAGCCAUGGAACAGAUGAUGACUGAGGAGCGUGCAGCCAUGGAUCAGAGGUUGAAGCAUUUCCAUGAUGAUAUGGACCUAAAGUUGAAGCAGGAGCGCAAGGACCUAGAUCGCGCUAUGCAACUUGAGCGUGGCAGGAUGGAAUUCAAUAUCAUGCAGGCGCGUGCGAACAUGGACCGUAUGUUGCAGCAGGAGCGUAAUGACAUGAAUCACAAGGCCAAGAUGGAGGGGAUCCGCAUGGAUGGGAAUAUGAUGCAAGACCGUGUUCUACAUCUCGAGCGUGGUAAAAUGGGCUUCAAUAACAUGCAGACGCGUGCGGGCAUGGACCUUAACUUACCAAAGGACCGCAAUGAUCUGGAUUACAAGGCCAAGAUGGAGCAGAUCCGCAUGGAAGGAAAUACGAUGCAGGACCGUGCU